GCAAACUUGGUCAUUUAGAGGAAGUAAAAGUCGUAACAAGGUUUCCGUAGGUGAACCUGCGGAAGGAUCAUUACCGAGUGUGACCCCCCGUAAAAAAGGGGGUACCUCCCGUCCUUUGCUAGGCACUCCUCUCCCCCAAAUUUUUUUUUGGGAAGGGGAAGCUUUUUCAAAACCUUCUGCUUCGGUGGGUUUACCCCCGCCGGAACAACCUCAAAAAUUCUUAUUACAACUGUUCUGUCCGAGAAAACUUUUAAAAGCGAAAAAACUUUCAACAACGGAUCUCUUGGUUCUGGCAUCGAUGAAGAACGCAGC
rnacentral:misc_RNA from 1 species